GGCCAGCAGCCGCGGUAAUACGUAGGGUGCAAACAUUACCCGGAUUCACUGGGCGUAAAGAGUUCGUAGGCGGUUUUGUAAGUUGGAUAUUAAAUACCUCGGCUCAACCGAGGAAAAGUAUCCAAAACUGCAUAACUUGAGGCAUGCAAGGGAAGAUGGAACUUACGGUGUAGCAGUGAAAUGCGUAGAUAUCGUAAGGAACGCCAAUGGUGAAGACAGUCUUCUGGGCAUAGCCUGACGCUGAGGAACGAAAGCGUGGGGAGCGAACGGGAUUAGAUACCCCGGUAGUCCACGCCGUAAACGAUGCAUACUAGGAGUUCGGAGAAUCGACCCUCUGGGCUUCGAAGCUAACGCGUUAAGUAUGCCGCCUGGGUAGUACGGCCGCAAGGCUAAAACUCAAAGGAAUUGACGGGGGCCCGCACA
rnacentral:rRNA from 1 species